GGCCCAAUGGUCUAGUCGUACGAUUCUCGCUUUGGGUGCGUUCGGGUGAACAUCUUACUGCGAGAGGUCCUGGGUUUAAUUCCCAGUUGGGCCC